rnacentral:rRNA from 1 species
UACGUAGGUGGCAAGCGUUGUCCGGAUUUACUGGGCGUAAAGCGAACGCAGGCGGGCCUUUUAAGUAGGAAGUGAAAGGUUGGAGCUUAACUCUAACACUGCUCCCUAUACUGGAGGCCUUGAGUGCCGGAGAGGAAGACGGAACUGCAGGUGUAGCGGUGAAAUGCGUUGAUAUCAGGAGGAACACCGGUGGUGUAGACGGCUUUCUGGACCGUAACUGACGCUGAGACACGAAAGCGUGGGUAGCAAACAGG